rnacentral:lncRNA from 1 species
CUAUGGUUAGCCCCCUUGAUCCUAGCUAAGAGGCCUUGAUGGGAGGUUUGCUACUAGCAUUCUACCAAAUUUAGAGCAUAAAUUGAGAUCAAAUGAAGAAUAACAAAGCAUUUUUUUUUUUGGGGGUAAAUUUUGUUGUUGCAGGCAAAGCAGCCCAGCAAAUGAAUGUUCCAGUUCCUGAAGGAUGUACUGAUCCUACUGCAGAAAACUUUGAUCCAACUGCAAGAAGUGAUGAUGGAAGCUGCCAAUACACGCUUUAGGCCUUGUUUGUAAGGGUUGAGAAG